CACGUAGUUAGCCGGGGCUUCUUAGUCAGGUACUGUCACUUUCUUCCCUGCUGAUAGAGCGUUUACAUACCGAGAUACUUCAUCGCUCACGCGGCGUCGCUGCAUCAGGGUUUCCCCCAUUGUGCAAUAUUCCCCACUGCUGCCUCCCGCAGGAGUCUGGGCCGUGUCUCAGUCCCAAUGUGGCCGGCCGCCCUCUCAGGCCGGCUACUGAUCGUCGCCUUGGUGGGCCGUUACCCCGCCAACGAGCUAAUCAGACGCGGGCCCAUCCCAUACCACCGGAGUUUUUCCCCAGGAAGCUAUGCAGGCCUCCGUGGGCGUAGUGCGGUAUUAGCACGCCGUUUCCGGCUUGUUACUCCCCCGGGUAUCGGGGCAGGUUCGCCCACGCGUUACUCACCCGUCCGCCACUCAGACACGC
rnacentral:rRNA from 1 species